rnacentral:rRNA from 1 species
GUGGGGAAUCUUGCGCAAUGGGCGAAAGCCUGACGCAGCCAUGCCGCGUGAAUGAUGAAGGUCUUAGGAUUGUAAAAUUCUUUCACCGGGGACGAUAAUGACGGUACCCGGAGAAGAAGCUCCGGCUAACUUCGUGCCAGCAGCCGCGGUAAUACGAAGGGGGCUAGCGUUGCUCGGAAUUACUGGGCGUAAAGGGCGCGUAGGCGGACAGCUUAGUCAGAGGUGAAAGCCCAGGGCUCAACCUUGGAAUUGCCUUUGAUACUGGCUGUCUUGAGUUUGGGAGAGGUGAGUGGAACUCCGAGUGUAGAGGUGAAAUGCGUAGAUAUAGGAAGGAACACCAGUGGCGAAGGCGACUACCUGGACUGAUACUGACACUGAGGUGCGAAAGCGUGGGGAGCAAACAGGAUUAGAAACCCGUGUAGUCC